AAGAAUUAUCUCUGGAAUACAACACACUUACAUUAUAAACUGUUUAGAGAAAGGACACAACAACUCAUAAGGCUCAAGUCCAUUGAUCUGGAUGGGUCUCCGUGUUAUGAACUCUUCACUCAGGUUCAUUUCUGAUUUGAGCCUCUGGGGGAAGGGGCGUGGCCCCUGAGUGACAGGAUUUCCCUGGGGCCUGGCAGGGAGAGUGACAUCUCAGAAGGACUCCCUGGAGAGCCCCUGUCCCCUCUCAUCCGCACACACUCCAGAGGGCCCUCCGCCUGCCCCGCCCCGGCCAUGAGCCCCUGCCUCCUGGGCUGUGUGGUCUUCUGUCUCCUGCAGGCAGGGGCGGUCCAUGCUGGGGUCCCUCAGGACCCCAGAUUCCAGGUCGUGAGGAGAGGACAGAGCGCGACACUGACAUGUACUCAGGAUCUGGGUCAUGACCGCAUGUACUGGUACCGACAAGACCUGGGACACGGGCUGAGGCUGAUCCAUUACUCAAAUGGCCCUCCCACCACAGAGAAGGGAGAUGUGCCUGAGGGUUACAGCAUCUCCAGACCAAGCACAAAUGACUUCCCUCUAAUGCUGGAGUCUGCCAAACGCUCCAAGACAUCUGUGUACUUCUGCGCCAGCAGUUACUCCACAGUGCUGCACGGCCACCUCCUUUCUGUGCAAAAAAGCAUAUGA